rnacentral:antisense_RNA from 1 species
CUUUUUGUUUAACCCAUUUGUCAAAACAUACGCAAUUUUUGUUA